GAUGAACGCUGGCGGCGUGCCUAAUACAUGCAAGUCGAGCGAAUGGAUUAAGAGCUUGCUCUUAUGAAGUUAGCGGCGGACGGGUGAGUAACACGUGGGUAACCUGCCCAUAAGACUGGGAUAACUCCGGGAAACCGGGGCUAAUACCGGAUAACAUUUUGAACCGCAUGGUUCGAAAUUGAAAGGCGGCUUCGGCUGUCACUUAUGGAUGGACACGCGUCGCAUUAGCUAGUUGGUGAGGUAACGGCUCACCAAGGCAACGAUGCGUAGCCGACCUGAGAGGGGGAUCGGCCACACUGGGACUGAGACACGGCCCAGACUCCUACGGGAGGCAGCAGUAGGGAAUCUGCCGCAAUGGACGAAAGUCUGACGGAGCAACGCCGCGUGAGUGAUGAAGGCUUUCGGGUCGUAAAACUCUGUUGUUAGGGAAGAACAAGUGCUAGUUGAAUAAGCUGGCACCUUGACGGUACCUAACCAGAAAGCCACGGCUAACUACGUGCCAGCCGCCGCAGUAA
rnacentral:rRNA from 1 species